CUCCCGGCGGCGCGGACCUCUCCCGCGGAGCCCUGGGUCUGCAUUCCUUUGCGUUUACCACGGACUUGGGGCGGGAUCAAAGGGAAAGUGGCCCGAGCCUGUUUAAUCAAGGGCUUGUGGACCGAAACCAAGCCUGAGGUGGCGGAGGGCACGCGGGUGAGGGGCCGAGGACGAGAAAGGGUCGGUCCUGGGCGCUGCGCCUUCCCUCCAGCAGGGCGCGGAGCCUCAGGCACCGGGAGGGCUGCACUGACCCGCAGUUCUGCCAGAGGUCAGGCCAGACUGCGCCCGGCGCGGGGAGACACCGAGAAGGCCAGCCUUUCUUCGGGAGGCUGCUUAGCGCUUGUGACCAUAUUUGGUCUGGUGAGAAGGCAUCUUGGCUGCUUGGCCUUCAAUUGUCUACUAGAGCGCAGACGGUGCCCAGAAAGUGCCUCUGUUGCCGGAGACGCAGCUUCGCCCACGGGUGGGUUGUAAACAACCUUCAAAUCAUUCACCAAUCCUUCAUUUCCUCCACGGGGUGAAGGGCCAGAAGGGGUAAAGAAGAAACCGGAUCAAAGCUGGGUGCUGGAAGGGGAGAGCAGUUGCGCCCCCCUCCCCCGCGACAUCCGCGCGGGUAGUGGGAGGAUUGGAAUGUCCCUGACGCCCUCCAGGGAGCCUGCAGCCAGGAUGGAACACAGGCAGGUGGCUGGGAGUAGAGAGGGUGCGCCAGUGACCCGGAAAAAGCCACCCACCCUCCCACUGCCUGGAUAAGGGCAAGGGGGAGACCCCCCGCCUCGGGGAGGAGGUCUGGCCUGGAGAGACAGCUGCUGGGAAGUGGGAGGCGGCCUCGCCCUCCGCAGCAGCUCAAUUCCUUCCCUCCCUCGACCCUUUUCCCUUGCCCGAAAAGAAGAUAUGGCUGCAAGAGGACACAGCAGUCGCAACAUGAGGAAAUGAGCUAUGGAACUGGAGGCCAGCCAUGACUAGGACCAUAUGGUCACUAAUUCAGAAGCUGUGGGACUGAUUUGAUGGUGAAAGGAUGGAAACUUGAGACCAUGCCUGCUCUAGGAAGGCCUUCACUGCAGAAGGAAGGCUGACUGCAGACACCUCUGCAACCUCCCUACCAAACAGCAGCAGAACACAGUGAGCCCAGCCCAGAGGGCAGAAUCGUGAGCAAAUAAAAUAGGAUUAGGAGCUCUUGGAGAAAAGUGAAGAGGACUUGGUUUUCCUGUGAGGACUCUCCAGGCAGAUGUGUUUUGAGACAAGUUCUUGCUAAGUUGCUGAAGCUGGCCUCAAACUUCCAAUCCUCCUGCCUCAGUCUCCCAGUAGCCUGGCUAACUGCGUGUUUUCUGAAUGCACACUGUGUGCCAGAAGCAGCCUAUCAGGCCCACUUGGAAGAGUUUACCACCUGAUGAGGCACUCAUUGGUUGACUCCUCCCUCUGCCAGGGGAGUCCCAGGUCUGGUUCCACCAGCUGUUCAAGCCACUCCUCUUCCCUGUCUUGUUUCCCUGUUGUCGGGAGCCAGGUGUGUGCAAGCUCUACCAUGACCUCUCUGUCUGCAUAUUGUCCUGGCUCCAGUUAGGCCACUUGUCAUACCUGGUCAAGAAAGGUCAAUGUGUGGUUUGUAGCCAAAGAAAAAAGAAGAGGACCUGCCAAACCAAAAUGGGGUACAAAAAGGGGGUCCAGGAAGGGCAUCUGUCCCCACAGGAGAGCCAACACCGGUGGGCACAAGCCCAACUCACACAUGUUUAAAAAUGACAAAAUGCUCUUUUAAAAAUUCCUAUUUCCAGACAAUCUUAAAUAAGAGGGUGGAUUCGUUCUCACAAGGUGUUUGGCCAUAAUAAAUCUUACUUUGAUCACAUGACUGAAGAUGUCACCACUUGGUAAUGGUAAUUAAAAGUUGUUAGUAUUUCAACCACUACAAUCAUAGUAAGUAACAUGUGUAAUGUUUUAAAUCAGGCUACAAGACAAUUUCACAGGUACAAUCACACAUAGACCUCACAGAAACCCUUGAGAAUGGGCUCUUUUCCUGAAGUUGGCGGGGGGCGGGGCGGUAUUUUCAAAAUCAUUUUCUUCCAUGGACCCACAGGACUUUGUCACGGUGCUUUGUCACCUAAUGGUCAUUCAGGGCACAAAGACUCCAAAAAUGACCAAGCUGUCUCCUCCCUCUCAUUAAAUAAACAAAAACUCACAUGUGUCAGAGGUACUUAAAA